rnacentral:rRNA from 1 species
AGAGAAAUUUGGAUUAAUACCUCAUAGUAUAGCGGUUUCGCAUGUAAACCACUAUUAAAGUUCCAACGGUGAAAGAUGAGCAUGCGUCCCAUUAGCUAGAUGGUAAGGUAACGGCUUACCAUGGCUACGAUGGGUAGGGGUCCUGAGAGGGAGAUCCCCCACACUGGUACUGAGACACGGACCAGACUCCUACGGGAGGCAGCAGUGAGGAAUAUUGGUCAAUGGACGCAAGUCUGAACCAGCCAUGCCGCGUGCAGGAUGACGGUCCUAUGGAUUGUAAACUGCUUUUGUACGAGAAGAAACAACAUUACGUGUAAUGUCUUGACGGUAUCGUAAGAAUAAGGAUCGGCUAACUCCGUG